AAUUUCAUCGUGAUGGGGAUAGAUCAUUGCAAUUGUUGGUCUUCAACGAGGAAUGCCUAGUAAGCGCGAGUCAUCAGCUCGCGUUGACUACGUCCCUGCCCUUUGUACACACCGCCCGUCGCUCCUACCGAUUGAAUGGUCCGGUGAAGUGUUCGGAUCGCGGCGACGGGGGCGGUUCGCCGCCCCCGACGUCGCGAGAAGUCCAUUGAACCUUAUCAUUUAGAGAAGGAGAAGUCGUAACAAGGUUUCCGUAGGUGAACCUGCGGAAGGAUCAUUG
rnacentral:rRNA from 1 species